AGUGAACGCUGGCGGUAGGCCUAACACAUGCAAGUCGAACGGCAGCACAGUAAGAGCUUGCUCUUACGGGUGGCGAGUGGCGGACGGGUGAGGAAUACAUCGGAAUCUACUUUUUCGUGGGGGAUAACGUAGGGAAACUUACGCUAAUACCGCAUACGACCUACGGGUGAAAGCAGGGGAUCUUCGGACCUUGCGCGAUUGAAUGAGCCGAUGUCGGAUUAGCUAGUUGGCGGGGUAAAGGCCCACCAAGGCGACGAUCCGUAGCUGGUCUGAGAGGAUGAUAAGCCACACUGGAACUGAGACACGGUCCAGACUCCUACGGGAGGCAGCAGUCGGGAAUAUUGGACAAUGGGCGCAAGCCUGAUCCAGCCAUACCGCGUGGGUGAAGAAGGCCUUCGGGUUGUAAAGCCCUUUUGUUGGGAAAGAAAAGCAGCAGGUUAAUACCCCGCUGUUCUGACGGUACCCAAAGAAUAAGCACCGGCUAACUUCGUG
rnacentral:rRNA from 1 species